CCCCGGUGACGCACCAGUGACGUCGGCGGCGGCGGGCGGGAUUUCCCGGCCCCUCCCGGGCGCCAGACUAGACCCUGGUGCGGAGUGGGCGCGACCAACGUGGGCGGGAGGAAGCGGGGCCGGGGGGCGCGCGCUCGGCGCCCUCAGGGCAUGGACGUCCUCCUGCAGCCCGGCACGGGGGGCUGAGCGGGCAGAGUACUUGGCGUCCGCUGACUCCGCUCUCAAACUGGGCACCGGCUCGGCCACCUGCGCCCCCUCGGCCUCGCGUCGUCUGUCCUCUGCCCGGGCGGGGAGGCGCGGGGCGGGGCGGGGCUGGUGACGCGGCCCGGAGACCCCGGGGCGGCGCGGGGCGCGAGGCGCGCGUUUGCACCGCGAACCCAUCAGCGGCGAGGCGCGCGGGAGCUGGGGCGCUGAGCCGGAGCCCCCCCGCCCGCCAGCCCCGCGCCCGGAUGAGGAGCGAUGCCGCUCGGUCUGGCCGCCCCCCGCGUGCGCCGCGCCGGAGACAAAGCCCGCGCCUGAGCGGCUCCCUCGGCCCGCGUCCCCGCGCCGGGCAAGAAGACAACAGACUGUUACAAAGGGGAAGAUUGAAAUGCAGAGACAGAAACUUGCUCAAAGUCAUAUAAGUAAUCGAAAAUAGAAAUAGGAUUAGAAGCAAACCUGCUGGCUCCUCUUCCACCCUUCUUAUCUGAAAAAUACCCUUUUGCAGUCGUUUGAGCUUCGUCUCCAGAACGAGCAUCGGGAGCGUUCUGACUGUAAUACUUCACUUGAAGGGGAAUUCUCUAAUUCAGCUCUGGCAACUUGCUCUGCAGCCAAGGUGUUCAGUCUCUGCACAAAAAUGAAAAGCUUGUAAACUCA
rnacentral:lncRNA from 1 species